AUGACCAUGAGUGGCAGUAAUCACACUGUGCGAUCUGUGCCACUGGAUCUUACCAACAAAACCAGAGAGCGUGGGAGCUGCGCGCAAACGGGAGACCAAGGUCGCCCUAGACCUGCUCCAGGAGGACAGGUGGAACCGGCGCACAAUUGCAGCAAUGGACACGGAAUUCUUCCAUCCGAAGCGCAGGACUGUUGUGAUGGAUCAGUUUCGCAGACUACUCAAACAGACGCUGUGGGUGUCAGGGGAAAUAGGACGCUUAAGGGUCCCAACCAAACCCGGACUAUAACCCCUAACGCUGCAGGAAAACCGACAGAUUCCUCAAUUUCCAAACUUCCGCCAAGGAAACGUCCUUUCCCUCUGGAUGUGGAUCAUGACCACAGUGGUCCAAGAAACGAUCCACCUAGCCCGGAUCCAAAAGUUUUGAAGAAGCCAGAGACUCAGAUAGACACAGAUACACAGCGGAAAUUUUGUCCAUCUGGACAUAAACCAAGCGCUAAUGACUCCCGGUUUGUGCCACACUUAACACCAUAUCCAGGUUGUCCAUAUUUCCAGUGGCCUCGGCAGCCUCCUCCACUGGAGAGCACAGAUCGUCUGCUGGCAGAUAUUGCUGAGGCAACACGUCAAGAUGAAGAUGGUGACACGCCUCUUCACAUUGCUGUUGUCAAAGAGAAUAGCCAGUUGGUCAAAUGGCUUAUUGAAAUAUAUCGACGGGCGCACAAAGACAUGGACGUUUUCAAUAACCUAAGACAGGUAAAGUGUAUAAACACACACACACACACAGAGGAAGUACCACAUAGGGAAGGUACUGGGAUGGGGCUCCGCGUAAGGGGAGAGUCUACCAAGACCCAGAACCUAUUGACAG
rnacentral:lncRNA from 1 species